AUGGCCUGGGCUUCUCUCUUUCUGACCGUCUUCACUUCCUGCACAGGGGCUUUUGCUCAGUUUGUGCUGACUCAACCACCUUCGCUCUCGGCAUCUCCUGGAGAAACAGUCAAGAUCCUCUGUACCAGGAGAGGAGGUAACAUCGGAAAUUACUAUAUAUCCUGGUAUCAACAGAAACCUGGCAGUGCCCCCAGACUGAUGAUAUAUCAGCACACCUACAGAAGCUUUGGGACCCCAGAGAGAUUCUCCGGUUCCUAUGACACCGCGGCCAACACUGCCACCUUAACCAUCUCCAACCUUCAAGCAGAAGAUGAGGCGGUUUAUUAUUGUUCAUCUUAUGGUAACAGCUGGCAGAGCACAGGAGGAAGUGAGACAGAAAUCUCCUAG